UACGGGGGGUGCGAGCGUUGUCCGGAAUCACUGGGCGUAAAGGGCGCGUAGGUGGCGUGAUAAGGGUGUGGUGAAAGCCCGGGGCUCAACCCCGGGUCUGCCAUGCCGACUGUCAGGCUGGAGUACUGUAGGGGCAGGCGGAAUUCCGGGUGUAGCGGUGGAAUGCGUAGAGAUCCGGAGGAAGACCGGUGGCGAAGGCGGCUCUCUGGGACGGUACGUGACGCUGAGACGCGAAAGCGUGGGGAGCGAACAG
rnacentral:rRNA from 1 species